AUGUAUACCGGUCACACUGGUCAGAACAAAUGGAGCGCUGAAUGGUUCACAAAAACCAAGGGGUUUGUGCAAGCCGCAUUUGCAAAUGGCCAGAGGAAAACCUGGUGCCCCUGUUUCCGGUGCGGCAAUUGGGAAAAGAGGACAGAGGCUGAAAUGGGCAAACACCUGCAGAAGAGUGGUUUUACGCCCGAUUAUACGGUGUGGACAUUUCAUGGUGAGUCUGCCCAACGUGACCGAGCUGAGGUGGAUCGUCAUUGCACCGACGAGCAUGGUACCGGGAUGGAAAACAUGGUGCAAUACUAUGAUGAUGCUCGGGAUUCGGACAAGGAGAUGGAGGAAUCUACAAAGGCCUUCAAUGAAAUGUUGGAGUCUUCAAAACGUCCGCUCCACGAGCACACUGAGCUUUGUCAGUUGGAUGCCAUCUCACAAGUAAUGGCUCUGAAGGCUCAGUUCAACUUGGGCAGAGAAUGCGAUGACGCAAUUAUGACAGUAUUUGGACGCUUUCUAACCAAAGGCCAUGUAAUGCCUGCAAACCUGUACCAGUCGGACAAAAUCCUCCGUGCACUGAAGAUGCCCUAUGAGAAGAUACAUGCCUGUGAGAAAGGAUGUGCCUUAUUUAGGCUUGACUAUGCGGACUUGAACUAUUGUCCCAUUUGCAAGUCUUCCAGGUAUAUUGUGGUAGAUAACGGUAUGGGUGAGAAGACACAGACCAAAAUCCCCGUUAGUGUUCUUCAGUAUAUGCCAAUCAUACCAAGACUUCAACGUCUUUUCAUGGUCGAAGAGAAGGCCAGACAGAUGACAUGGCACAAAACAGGCAAAAGAGCCGAACUAGAUGCAGAUGGGAAUUUGAUGAUGGUACACACAUCGGAUGGUGUUGCGUGGAAAAAGUUUGAUGAAUUACAUGUUGACAAAGCGACAGAUCCAAGGCAUCCUCGAGUCGGCAUCAGCAUGGAUGGGUUCAGUGUGUUUGGUAUGACGGCAACCCAAUAA
rnacentral:rRNA from 1 species